GGGGGAAUCUUCCACAAUGGGCGAAAGCCUGAUGGAGCAACGCCGCGUGUGUGAUGAAGGGUUUCGGCUCGUAAAACACUGUUGUAAGAGAAGAAUGACAUUGAGAGUAACUGUUCAAUGUGUGACGGUAUCUUACCAGAAAGGAACGGCUAAAUACGUGCCAG
rnacentral:rRNA from 1 species